GAUGAACGCUAGCGGCAGGCUUAAUACAUGCAAGUCGAGGGGCAACAGGGGUAGCAAUACCUGCUGGCGACCGGCAAACGGGUGCGGAACACGUACAGAACCUUCCUUUAAGCGGGGGAUAGCCUAUAGAAAUGUGGAUUAAUACCCCAUAGUAAUAUUGACUGGCAUCAGUUGAUAUUUAAAGAUUUAUCACUUAAAGAUGGCUGUGCGGCUGAUUAGGUAGUUGGUGCGGGUAACGGCCCACCAAGCCAGCGAUCAGUAACUGGUGUGAGAGCACGACCAGUCACACGGGCACUGAGACACGGGCCCGACUCCUACGGGAGGCAGCAGUAAGGAAUAUUGGUCAAUGGACGCAAGUCUGAACCAGCCAUGCCGCGUGAAGGAUGAAGGCCCUC
rnacentral:rRNA from 1 species